UAGGGAAUCUUCGGCAAUGGACGAAAGUCUGACCGAGCAACGCCGCGUGAGUGAAGAAGGUUUUCGGAUCGUAAAACUCUGUUGUUAGAGAAGAACAAGGACGUUAGUAACUGAACGUCCCCUGACGGUAUCUAACCAGAAAGCCACGGCUAACUACGUGCCAGCAGCCGCGGUAAUACGUAGGUGGCAAGCGUUGUCCGGAUUUAUUGGGCGUAAAGCGAGCGCAGGCGGUUUCUUAAGUCUGAUGUGAAAGCCCCCGGCUCAACCGGGGAGGGUCAUUGGAAAGUGGGAGACGUGAGUGCAGAAGAGGAGAGUGGAAUUCCAUGUGUAGCGGUGAAAUGCGUAGAUAUAUGGAGGAACACCAGUGGAGAAGGCGGCUCUCUGGUCUGUAACUGACGCUGAGGCGAGAAAGCGUGGGGAGCAAACAGG
rnacentral:rRNA from 1 species